AGUGAACGCUGGCGGUAGGCCUAACACAUGCAAGUCGAACGGCAGCACAGUAAGAGCUUGCUCUUACGGGUGGCGAGUGGCGGACGGGUGAGGAAUACAUCGGAAUCUAUUUUUUCGUGGGGGAUAACGUAGGGAAACUUACGCUAAUACCGCAUACGACCUACGGGUGAAAGCAGGGGAUCUUCGGACCUUGCGCGAUUGAAUGAGCCGAUGUCGGAUUAGCUAGUUGGCGGGGUAAAGGCCCACCAAGGCGACGAUCCGUAGCUGGUCUGAGAGGAUGAUCAGCCACACUGGAACUGAGACACGGUCCAGACUCCCACGGGAGGCAGCAGUGGGGAAUAUUGGACAAUGGGCGCAAGCCUGAUCCAGCCAUACCGCGUGGGUGAAGAAGGCCUUCGGGUUGUAAAGCCCUUUUGUUGGGAAAGAAAAGCAGCAGGUUAAUACCCCGCUGUUCUGACGGUACCCAAAGAAUAAGCACCGGCUAACUUCGUG
rnacentral:rRNA from 1 species